UACACACCGCCCGUCAAGCCACCUGAGUUGGGAGCACCCGAAGUCGAUUAUCUAACCGCAAGGAGGAAGUCGCCUAAGGUGAGACCAGUGAGGAGGGCU
rnacentral:rRNA from 1 species